AUGGCGCGCGGGCAGCCCCGAGGGCCCGAGCGCCCCGCCCCGCCCGCCCCGCCCGCCCCGCCCGGCCCGGCCCGGCCCGGCCCGGCCCUCGGCUCUCCCGCCCGCUCGCGGGGCCGGCCCGGGCGGGGCCCCGCCGCUGCCCGGCCGCCCCCGAGGCCCGCGGCUGGGGCUGGCGAGCUCCCCCGCCGCGCCCGGGGCUUGGCGCUCCCUGGGGGCCGCUACCUGUGCGGCCCCCAGCACUCGGAAGAAGCAGCGACAGGCAGGGACAGGCACACGCGCACCCCGACAGACAGGCUCAGACUUCUGCGGAGACGCGCCCGUCCAGCGCACCCCCCAAGCACACUCGUGCGCGCGCACACAGAAGCCCACGCGCACAAAGUCACCCCUGCCCAGCGGAGGCCGGGCCAGGAAGCCAACACAGGAGCGCCCAGAGCACAGAACCAGUGUUGCUCUCAGAUUUCUAGAAUAUACUGUUAUGGCCACAGAGUUCUUCCUCAUGACUACCCUUCUCUGGUGAAGAAGCUGAAAUACAAUUUAACCAAACCUGAAACUGAAAAGAAGACGAGAAGACCUGGGGCGAGCUGAAAUUUCAAAGGCUUAAGUUGAAAGAGAAUGUUCCUGGGGGGUGGGGGUGGGAGGGUGGCCCGGAAUAUUAGACUCACAAAAAACCAAUAGGGAGAGAAAAGCAUUAUCAAGGAAUUAGAAUAGACAAAAGAGGAAAAGUGAACCGAAAUAUUUUUGAGGAUAAACUGGAUCCUAAAAUGGAAACAAUGAAUUGAAAGGCAGGGUUUAAAAAAAAAAAAAAAAAGCUGGUGCAACCAACAAAUCCGUUUUGAUCGCCCGCCACGGACGGACGGCACUGUGGGUUCCCUGACCCGCUGAGAUCCCGGCCUCGGUGGGGCGGGUUGGCGGCCUGGCGGCCAGUCGGGCAGUUGGCACCGAGCAAGAGCACGGAUCCGCUUCUCCGAGCUCUUGUUGGACGUGCUCUCCUGAUGGACGCGGCACUUAUUUGCCAAGUGCAGCAGCGUGUGAUGUGCCCCGUCUGGCAUAACAAAGAUGUUGGCCUCCGCCUCUGAGGUUCCCAGUGCAGAGAGUGGAACCGGCCGCGUCGGGGAGGCCGGGAGGGGAGAGACCUAAGGCCUUGCUUCCUGGUUCUGAUUACAGGAAAGUGGGGGAGAGCCGGGUAAACACAGCAGCCCGGAGGGUUGCUGAGAGGGAAGGAGAGGGACGUAGGGCAGAGGCGCCCAGCUGACAUACCGAUGCGCUGAGGGAAGGGAGGGCCGGUGGCGGCCCACCUGCUCGCCCAGGCCCUCAGAUCCCCAGAGUCCUACACCGAGGAGGGGCCCAAGGCCCACAGGCGGGCAGGGGCUCACCCAACGUCACACAACCAGUCGGAGGCAGUGCUGGCAGCGGAAUCCAGGACUCUUCCCAUUGCCCCAUCCUGCCACACUGAAGGGACAGCCCAGUGGUUAAUUAAAUGCAGAAUGUUCUGGAGUCAGGCUGACCUGGGUCUGUACCCUGCUUCUGCCACUUGCUGGUGGUCUUGUGAUCCUGGGCAAGUUUCUCUCUUCACCUGGAUGUCUCUAUCUGUAAAAUGGGGACCGUGAUUGUCAUUACUGGGAUGGCUUCCCUCCACCACAGCCAUCCUCGCUUCCUUCCCUCCUGUGUGUGCCAUUGCCCCAUCAAAAGGUGGCGUUUAUCUUUCACCCUCUUGGAUCUGGUCUGACUUGUGACUACUGCGACCGGCGACUACAGUCGACGUGACCCUGUGGCAGUUCCAGAGCAAGUCUUUGUAAGGACUGGCAACUUCUGCCCGUGUCUCCUGAGUUACCUGCUCUGGAAGAAGAACUCCACUGAAUACAUGAGCCAAAGACGGCCAUGCAGAGAGGCAGCUCAAGCAGGCUGGGAGGUGGAGAGGCUGCGAGGAGAGAGAUGCUUCUGCCCCUCUUCCAACUAUUCCAGUGUAGCCUCAGCCUUUGGAUGACUCCAGCCUCAGGCCCCUGGGACUGCAGAUGCAUGAGAAGCUCCAAGCAAAACCUACCUAGCUGAGCCCCUUCCACAGUCAAAAGAGGUAAUCGUACAUUGAUGUUUUUUAAGCCACAAAGGUUUAGGGGAUGCUUGUUACACAGCAGCGAUAAGGGGACCACGUGCUUACUGAGGCUAUUCGUGGAUCCAUGAGACAAUUAUGUAGAAUAGAAGUGGAGACACAUGAAAUAUGAAUAAACGGUAGCUUUUUAUUUUAGUGGACUAAAUGCAAACAACAAACUCCAAACACUUCCAUCAGUCUCUACUAAAAAGCACAUUACAACAUCCCUGAACGAUGCAUUUGCAGACCACACAGAAUGAACUUCCUUCUCCCUUCACCUGACAGUCUUUGAAGACAGCCCCUACGCCCUGCUCUAGCCACACCAGCCUCCUCAGACCUUCCUAUGAGUCAG
rnacentral:lncRNA from 1 species